GCCUACGGGAGGCAGCAGUGAGGAAUAUUGGUCAAUGGCCGGAAGGCUGAACCAGCCAAGCCGCGUGAGGGAAGAAAGCGCAUGGCGCCAAUCAGCCAUGCGUUGACGGUACCUCCAAAGGAAGCGCCGGCUAACUCCGUGCCAGCAACCGCGGUAAUACGGAGGGCGCGAGCGUUAAUCGGAAUUACUGGGCGUAAAGCGCGCGUAGGCUGUUGUGUAAGUUGGGGGUGAAAUCCCACGGCUCAACCGUGGAACAGCCCUUGAUACUGCGCGACUUGAAUCCGGGAGAGGGUGGCGGAAUUCCA
rnacentral:rRNA from 1 species